GCCCUAGUAGCUCAGCGUUUAGAGCGCCGGUCUUGUAAGCCGGACGCCGGAGGUUAAAAUCCCCCCUAGUGCU
rnacentral:tRNA from 1 species